rnacentral:rRNA from 1 species
UACGUAGGGCGCAAGCGUUGUCCGGAAUUAUUGGGCGUAAAGAGCUCGUAGGCGGUUUGUCGCGUCUGCUGUGAAAGACCGGGGCUCAACUCCGGUUCUGCAGUGGGUACGGGCAGACUAGAGUGAUGUAGGGGAGACUGGAAUUCCUGGUGUAGCGGUGAAAUGCGCAGAUAUCAGGAGGAACACCGAUGGCGAAGGCGGCUCUCUGGGACGGUACUGACGCUGAGACGCGAAAGCGUGGGGAGCGAACAGG